AUAAUAAUAACGUGUGUGUGUGUGUGUGUGUGUAGGGCUAUGCUCCAGCUCCAGUCAUGUACAGCUCUCCUCCACCAGCAGCAGCCAGUGACCCUGUUAAGGAGGAGUUCAAGAUGGAGGAUAUGGUUUCCUCAUCUGGCGACCCCCUGCUGACUGCUAUAUCACAGGCUGAAGCUGCAUUCUCUCCUGUGGCUUCUGUGCCUUCCUCCUCCAGCAACAUUCUCAGCUCCUCUGAUGGUGCCUACCAGUUCCAGAUUGAUGGACCAAAAAACUCCACCAACUUCCUAUAGGGACAUUACCUCCUGAAGAAGCUCCCUCCAAGUCCUCCCAGACUGAUGUUACAAUGCCCUCUGUGACCAUUUUCCAUUCCUUUCUUGAAGCAUCCAAAUCAGGGACACAUAAUGGCACAGGAGUAAGCAAUGAGCCGCAUUUGGACAGUACAUUCUUUUCCUCUUUGCCUUGAUCAUUAUAUAAAGCUGGUGUAGUUUGAAAGCGUGCAACCGAAAAAAUCCCACCCCCUUCCUUCAGACCUCCCUUGAAAGCGACUCCCCCCAGCCAGGCAGCAUGUACAAGUUAGUUAUUAAUCAAUUUUCCAGAGGUGAGAAGACAAAGAAAGGAAGUGUUUUUGUGAAGUGUGUAAUAAAAAUGGACAUCCGAUGAGUAUAAUAAAAACAGGGCUGGGUUCAGUUUACCAAAGGUUUAAGAGACGUUAUCAGUACAUGGUUGUGGUUUCUAUCUACAUUUUCAAUGAUUCCAAACUUGAGUAUAUUUCUUUGAUUCCUUUUUUUUAAUUUUUGUUAAGUGAGAGCUGACUUCUGAUGUAAUGUGCCGGGAAAAUCAAGGAAUCAAGAAAAAAGUCUAAAAAAGUCAACAAAAGGAAAGAAACCAGAGUGCCAUGAAAACGAUUGACUGAAAAUCCCUCAAAAGUUAUCGCUAUCGGACGUCUUUGAUGGGAAAUGUUUCACUGGCCAAAAAAAAACAAAAUAGCAAUAAAAUGUGUAUUAAGACUUCAGACAUGUUAAACAAAAAUACACUUUAUUAUGACUACAGUUCUGCUACCCACAGUAGCAAUGUCAGGUUGCUGUAUGUCAGGUUUGCUCCAAUGUCAUUUAGUAAGAAAUGUCUUUAUAGCUAAUGCUUAAGAGUUGCUGGUGAGCUUCUUAUAUUCUCCAGUGAAUUGAGAAAGAGCUCUGUAUCCUGGAAACACGGUCCUGUUGAGACAACAGCUAAAAAAACACAGUGCAGAGAUUGCUCUUCUGACUGCACAAUAGCCCCCAAUAUAAGCUCUUUUCCAUCCAGUCAACCACCAGCAUCAGUCAAGUGAGUGGAUUGGUAAAAUAUGGAUCAAUCUGCGAUGGGGCUCAAAUGAGAGGAGUACAACAGCCAACCACUCUCUGUGCUAUACUGUACACAAGUAUAAUGUGCCCUGUCAAAUACACACACACAUCACAUCUUAAUUAUAUUACCCUAAGUUCCUAUCCUAGAAUAGACUACUGCUAGGCCCCAGGUUUGCUGUCGAGUUGCCUUUAACUUAGUGCUUCUACCUUGACCUGGAUGACUGAGAAUCUUCACAGACACACACCUAUUUUUUUAUGAGAAGAGCUGUAUGAAACAGAAUUUCUACAAUAGCUACCUCAUUUUUUCAUUCAAUGCCUCUUCAUAAAUCAACACUGCUAAGACAGCUUGUACAGUAUUGGUCGAUGGAAUGACUUUCAAUUCAAAUUGAAAUUGUCAAACCCCCUGAAUCCUCUGAUAGUGAUAAUUCUGUUUAAAUCACCUGGAUUUGGUGGUAAGUCUGGUUGUCAUGAAUGCUAACAACUAAACUGUAAGAAUACUGCCAGAAGAAUUGCCUUUCAGGGUUGACUCAAGCCUCCUUACCGUUACAGCAAAAAACAUAUCACUCAUUAUCCUUUCAGAGCCUUUGGUGUCUGUGUCCCAACCAUAAAUCAUAAUCAAGCAGGAAGUAGUAGCAUACACAGUGUGUAUGUCAGUUAUUACUCUGGACAGGCCAUCAAGGAAAUGCAGUUUGAGAGAUAACAAACAUUAACUGUCAUAAACAUAAAGGAAUACACACAAAUGAUAAAUUAUAGAUUAAGUUCCAACACCUUUUUGAGCUGUUGUGUUUUGGUUUUUUUUGUUAGUUAAUUGUUGUGACUUGUGAAUUGAUUUGCUCAACUGGAUGCUCAGCCUGUUGAGUGUCAUCUAGGAUGGAGGUCAGAAAUCUUCCUACUUAUCUAGGAUGCUUACCUUAAAACCACAACAGACAUUGAACUGUAAAUAACAUCACAAAUGCCUUUCUCUGCCAAAGUCGGGUUUUAUGUACAGUAGUCUUUCAUUUUGUUUGUUGAGGUUAGUAAAUACAGUGAACCUUGAUACUGCCAUCUCCACAGUGUAUGCAGACCAGUUGAUGUAGAGCUGUCAGUAUUUUGUUGUGUUUGUGGUUGGCUGGAUUCAGCUGAUGUCCUGCAAAUGGUGUCUUGACAACUGGAUUUUUGGAGUCACACCUUAAACUGGGACAAACAGGUUCUGGACUGCUCUGCUGUCAGCAUUUCAUGUAAAAACACAGUGAGUGCCUUUUCAUCUCUCAAUGUGAAGGUGACGUUGAUCUUUUUUCUUUCUGGGUAGAUUGUCACAUGAAAAGCAAAAUAAGGUGUGUUUUUUGUUUUGUCUUUGUGUCCUAGAUCUGAUGUUCCUUAAAUGUAAUAUGGGUUGAAGUGUGGUUCACACUACGUUGAAUAUGUUUUUAAAAUUAUUUUUGUGUAAAUAUAACCAAUGAUAUUCACUAAGUGUAGUUGUAGCUGAUAAUUAUGGCUGAUGGAGUUGGAGAUGCCUUCAUUUUUGUGGUAUUUUAGUCUUUCCAGUAUCACAUCCACCACUGGAUUUUAUGGUAGUGACAUUGGUUUCGCGCCUGUUAUUUUAUACCUCUUCUACUGUACAUGUGCAACCCUGUAUCAAUGAAACUACGCAUGAAUAAAGUGAAAUUCUGUUUCUCUCA